GACGAACGCUGGCGGCGUGCUUAACACAUGCAAGUCGAGCGGUAAGGCCCUUUCGGGGGUACGACGAGCGGCGAACGGGUGAGUAACACGUGGGUGGACCUGCCCUCCAGCUCUGGGAGUAAAGCCUGGGAAACCGGGGUACCUAAUACCGGAUAUGACUCCAUGACGCAUGUUGUGGGGUGGAAAGCCUUGUGCGGCUGAGGAUGGGCCCGCGGCCUAUCAGCUUGUGUGGGGU
rnacentral:rRNA from 1 species